UUAAUGACUAGCUCAAAUCUCAUUUUCAAAUUUAUUCAUUAAAAUACGAUUGUAUUUCUCACAGAUAUAAAUUGAUUCGUUCAUAUUUUUCAGACCUAGCUGAACUGUGUUAGAAGUGCAGGCAAAGUAAGCUGUGGAAAAAAUAUGCUGGCUUUUUUCUGCGCUUCAGUGUCUUAAAUUGACUUCUGGACAGAUUGCGCAGGAAGCUCCGAAAACGAUAUUGAAUCAAGUUGAGAAACAGCAGAAGACUGUACAGAAAGAUACAAGAAACAACAGGCUCAUUUAACAGAUAUUGGUUACCACAGAAGUCUCAAUCAAGCCUCUGAGGAGAAAAUUGCUGUCCUUGUGAGCUGUUAACAAGAAAUUAUAGAUGAUAAGAAAGUGAAACAGUAUCUGAUUCAGACAUAAUUCACGAGCCAAGAAAACAAAACAAAGAAUACAGUGAUCAUCAUGGAAGAGGCAUCAACAGAUUUUUCAGACAGUAGAGCUUUGUGACAAGGAGGAGGGUGUGGCCGGGCCAUGAGUGUGCACGGCAGGUGCUGAAUCAGCUUAUCAGCGGGAGAGCGAGAUAAAGGGGAGCCGGAGAUGCCAGUUCGGGAGAGAGAGAGAGAGACGCACGUGGCCGCGCUGCAUGUGUUUCUGUGUUCCUUUAUUUUUUUUAUGUUGUUUUAAGUUCAUUUUUAUCAUUAAUCUUUACCUUUAUUGUUCAGCCAGUUCCUGCCUCCUCCUUGCCCGUCCUUUACUGUUACACUGGUGCCGAAACCUGGGAGGAAGGAGGGAUGUGCUGUCGUUGAGUCCUUGCCGUCUGCCCAAAGGAGCAGCCAUAGUCGUCUGCAUGGGGACGGAAGGGUUGCUGCCGGCCCCUGAGAGCCGGGGGAACUGCUACCAUCCGCCGAGAAGGGGAGGAGCGGUUCUAUCCACCAGGGGUCGGAGGGCUCGCUGCCAUCUACCGGGGGAGGAGUGAGCUGUCGUCCGCCAGAGGGGAGGAGUGGUUGAGGUCCGGGCAAUGGCAUGUCUGGGAACCGGCGGGCAAGUUUUCUCUCGCUCUCUCCUCUCUCUCUCUCUCUCUCUCUGUGUAUCUCUCAUUCGCCCUUUCCCUCUCCCCGCACCUCCCCAUGUCUCUCCCCCAGGUUCCCAGGAGGCGGGGUGGACCACCGGCUGAUAGAAAGGCUGGAAGGGCAGCGUCUCCCCUCCAGAGAUAGGGGGGAGUAGGUCAGUCCGGUGGCACCCCAGCCUGAAUCAGGCAGGGGAGGAGUGUGACGAGGAGGAGGGCGUGACUGGGCCGUGAAGGUGCACGGCUGGCGCUGAAUCAAAUGUUCAGCGGGAGAGCGAGAUAAAGGUGAGCCUGAGACGCCAGUUGGGGUGAGAGAGAGAGAGACGCAUGCGACCACGCUGCAUGUGUGUCUGUGUUCCUUUAUGUUUUAUGUUGUUUUAAGUUCAUUUAUAUCAUUAUACUUUACGUUUAUUAUUCAGCCGGUUCCCACCUCCUCCUUGCCCGUCCUUUACUGUUACAAGCUUAUAAAGUAAGUGAUGCUGCAAUAAAGAAACAUCCUCAUCUAGUGACAUCACAGAAGAGUGAUGCUGAGGAAGACAUCAGCUGUACACCUCAGGAUGAUGCAGAAAAAUCUAGAAGUUCGAGCGAGCAAGCAAGCUGUCGAAGGAGCGGUGAACAGUUAAGCUGUAAACACUGUAGAAUUUUUUUUGACUCCCUUAUUCUUUUAAAAGCUCAUCAGGUUGUUCAUGCAGCAGCUGGGAAACCCUUUAGCUGUUCACAUUGUGGUAAGCGUUUUACCCGUGAACUCAGUUUGGAUGUACAUUGCCAGCUUCAUACUGACUAGGAACCUUAUAUUUGCAAUCUGUGUGGCGAGACUUUUACGGAACACAAACAGCUAAAGAAUCACCAGAGGAUUCAUCGUCCAGACAAAUCUUUUACAUGUGUUGUCUGUAGGAAGUCUUUUCCUCAAGCUUAUUACCUCAAAAAGCAUCUGAUCGGGAGAGAAGAUGCAUACAUGCAAUGUAUGUGGAAAGAGCUUUGGCAUUUACAACAAUCUACGUCGCCACCAGAGAAUCCAUACGGGGGAGAAGCCAUUCACCUGCCAGACAUGCUGACGAAGUUUCAACCAAGUCGAUUCAUUGAAGGCACACAAAUGCAAAACGUGUGCUCAGGGCUUUGUACAGAAAUGGAUGCUUAAGGUGCAUGAGGGACAGCAUGCAGGACAAAAUGGCCACAUCAGUGUUGUAUGCAGGGUGAUCUCAGGUUGCAUAAAUACAAUGAAAACACACCUCCAAACUCAUGCAGAGCAGCUGCCCGUUCCCUGUAUGUGGAGAGACUCUCGGCUCUAUCGGCACCUUUUAAUCUCACCAGCAGAAACACACCAUGAGCACCAAACACAGGUGUUGUGUGUGUGGAAAGACCUUUCAGAGUGCAGGCAGUGUGAAAAUUCAUGAGAAGAUUCAUACAGGAGAGAGGCCCUUUAGCUGCUCAGUGUGUGGGGAAAAAAUUCAGUCAACAGAUUUGCCUUAAGACUCACCUGAUCUCACAUACUGGCAAAAGACCAUUUAGUUGUGACAUGUGUGGCAAUGGUUUCUGCACCUUCCAAAGACAUCAGCACAUACACACCGAAGAAAAGCCAUUCAACUGUGACGUGUGUGGCCAUGGAUUUAACCAGUCUAAUGCUCUCAAAGCUCACAAGCACAUACACACAGGGGAGAAGGAAUACAUGUGUGACAAGUGUGGAAAGAGUUUUGCUUAUCCACAAAAUCUGAGGUGCCAUAAAUGUGUAUAAGUACACUGUUCCGGUAAGAUUAAGUAGGUGUAUGUGUCUAAGGCUAAUAGGCUAUACAGUUGUGCUCAAAAGUUUGCAUACCCUUGGAGAAUUGGUAAUAUAUGUACCAUUUUUAAAGAAAACAUGAGUGAGCAGGCAAAACACAUUUCUUUUAUUUCUUAUGGGAUUUAUAUUCAACUAGGUUAUAACAGAAUGGCACAAUCAUAAAACAAAACAUGGCAACAAAGAAAAAAAUGAAAUGACCCCUUUUCAAAAGUCUGCAUACCCGUAGUUCUUAAUACUAUGUAUUGCCCCCUUUAGCAUCAAUGACAGCGUGCAGUCUUUUGUAAUAGUUGUCUAUGAGGCCUCAAUUUCUUGCAGGUGGUAUAGCUGCCCAUUCGUCUUGGCAAAAUGCCUCCAGGUCAUGCAAAGUCUUUGGUCGUCUUGCAUGAACCCGCACGUUUGAGAUCUCCCCAGAGUGGCUCGAUGAUAUUAAGGUCAGGAAACUGUGACGGGCACUCCAGAACCUUAUUGUCGUGCUGGAAUGUCCAAGAGCGUCCCAUGCGCAGCUUUCAUACAGAAGAAAGCAAACUGUUUGCCAGUAUUUUCUGAUAACAUGCAGCAUUCAUCUUGCCAUCAAUUUUCACAAGAUUCCCCAUGCCUUUAGAGCUCACCCCCCCUCCCACACACACACACUAUAGCACUAUAGGCCUUGUUGACCCCUCUCCAAACAUAGCGCUUAUGGUUGUGACCAUAAAGCUCUAUUUUGGUCUCGUCACUCCAAAUUACAGUGUGCCAGAAGCUGUGAGGUGUGUCAAGGUGAUGUCGGGCAUAUUGUAACUGGGCUUUUUUGUAGCAUUGGUGCAGUAAAGGUUUCUUUCUGGCAACUCAACAUGCAGCUCAUUUUUGUUCAAUUAUAGUCGUAUUGUGCUCCUUGAAACAACCACACCGUCUUUUUCCAGAGCAGCCUGUAUUUCUCCUGAGGUUACCUGUGGGUUUUUCUUUGUAUCCUGAACAAUUCUUCUGGCAGUUGUGGCUGAAAUCUUUCUUGGUCUACCUGACCUUGACUUGGCAUCAAGAGAUCCCCAAAUUUUCCACUUCUUAAUAAGUGAUUGAUAUAUUUUUAUAUCCUUUUCCAUCUUUAUAAAGUUCCAUUACCUUGUUAUGCAGGUCUUUUGACAGUUCUUUUCUGCUCCCCAUGGCUCAGUAUCUAGCCUGCUCAGUGCAUCCACAUGAGAGCUAACAAACUCAUUGACUAUUUAUACACAGACACUAAUUGCAAUUUUAAAAGCCACAGGUGUGGGAAAUUAACCUUUAAUUGCCAUUUAAACCUGUGUGUGUCACCUUGUGUGUCUGUAACAAGGCCAAACAUUCAAGGGUAUGUAAACUUUUGAUCAGGGCCAUUUGGGUGAUUUCUGUUAUCAUUAUGAUUUAAAAAGGAGCCAGACAACUAUGUGAUAAUAAAUGGCUUCAUAUGAUCACUAUCCUUAAAUAAAAGACAGUUUUUGUUGCAUGAUCAGUCAUAUUUUCAAAAUCAAUGCCAAAAUUUCACAAUUUCUGCCAGGGUAUGCAAACUUUGAGCACAACUGUAUCUGUAUGCUUUUUGUUAAUUUACAGAUGCUGAAGUUCCCCUGUCAGAUAUUUCAGUGUACAGGCUGCCAGUAAAAUUGUUAGCAUCCUCAAAUGUAUUUCAGAAAUACAGACAGAAAUGCUGAA